rnacentral:lncRNA from 1 species
AUGGGAGCCGAGUCGCGGCUGGAGGGGAGCCGUUCUUUCUGUCGUUCUUUUUUCCUAUGCGUGUUUCACACAGAUGCACACAAGCCAACCCUUUAUAGCGUGAUGAUAUUAGUUAUUAGUUGUGCACGCAUCCUUCACGUGAGUACUCCAGUGGAAAAAAACCCUGCGUGCCUCUGUCAAUAUUUUUUGUUUUCUAUCAAAAUGUUCUUGUGUGAUAACAAUAUUCUUGUGUGGAAGUGUUUGUAGUAAAAGCUGUUUGCACAGAAAUUCAUUGCAGCCGGCUUUGUUUUUGAUGUUUAUUUGUGAGUAGGUAUUGUAUGAAUAACAUAAGUCAACGUAGCUUUACACACACACUUUGAACUAAAGGUAAAUCCAAAAUAGUGAUGUCACUGUCUAAGCAGAGGGAUUUGUGCAACCCUAUGGAAUAUAGUCCACACAUGACAAAUGAGGUAAUAAUCAAUAUUCUUUUGAACGGCUCUUUGAAAGGAACGGAUCGCGAAGAUCCGGAUCCCCUCAAAGAGCCAUAAAUCCCAUCACUAAGAAAAACACCCAACUAAGCUAUUAAAAAUUCAUUAAAUAUUUGUGCAACCCUAUGGAAUAUAGUCCACACAUGACAAAUGAGGUAAUAAUCAAUAUUCUUUUGAACGGCUCUUUGAAAGGAACGGAUCGCGAAGAUCCGGAUCCCCUCAAAGAGCCAUAAAUCCCAUCACUAAGAAAAACACCCAACUAAGCUAUUAAAAAUUCAUUAAAUAAAUGAAUCUGCAGCUUUUGCCAUGCAAAACUGACACACAUUGCAGUGUAAUGUAUAAGUGUAAUAUUGAUAUUUACAUUAAGCAAAACAGCAAUCAAAGCUGACCUUACAUCAACUCCAUCCAAACUGAAUGGGGCUGCUACAGUGGUUGUUUGUUACCUGACUGGCCACACCAUUUCCAGUAGUGGUGGUGGUGGUGGUGUUGUCGGUGGUCGGGGUGACCUCCUCGGUAACAGAAGGAGUAGAAGUCGCACUGCAGAUACAGAUGGAUUAGCAUCAGAAUGAUGAAAACAAAUGCAAAUUAACUCCUUAGUCAGCUUAAAAAGGCAAACCUUAGCGUUGGCAGGUUUACAGGACAUGCUAUAAAAAUACUAUAUAAUGUUCCUUAAGCAAAUGUGAUUUUGCAAUCUAAUAGUCUGUCAUAAAAUCGACUACCAAAUAUUAUUCAGUGAAAACAUUAGGAAGCAACAUAGCAGUGUGUGUGGUCAUUCGGUAAUCUUUUAAUUUGGAACUUUUAUUCAAUACUUCACAUCAAAUGUUUAGAGAAAAAUAAUAGGGAAAAAUGAAUAAAU